UUCAGCUUGUGAACCUCUUCCAUCAACUGAUUCUGCACUUCACAGAUGCUUGAGGAAGACAGCUGCACAUACAAAGCUGGCCCUGACUAUGAAGUGCUGUGUCCAAGCCUUGAUGGGAAGGAAUAAUCCAGAACUACCUCACUACAAAAUGUUUUCUAUCUAGCGUUUUGGUCCAGUCAGGUCCAGCUCUUCACCUGUUGACUUCUGAAGGUAGCUGUUGUAGUCCAACAACUUGUCGUAGCGCUUCUGGAUCAGCUUCUGUGGACCUGAAAACAAGGCUUGUAGUGCUGAGAGAGGAGUCAAAACGAGCUUGUCCAGCUGAGCCAUCUGGAAAGGUAGCUUCGGGAGAUGUGGCAUUUCAAUAGCCCAAACCUGCUGGAUGUCCAGAAACUGCAGCUGUGAUAAACUCUCCUCUACAGCUUUUCAAAGACAUCACAUUUGGCACAGAAGUCCCUUAACCACAAGUUACUGGUGUCUGGAUGAGUGGGAAAAGAGCACCAGGAUCACAGGAGCACAGCAGAGCAACUGGAUAGGUUUUACAUGCAAUUUUUUCCUGGCUCAUUAUGGACAGCUUGUUGCAGGUUGGCCUCUGGGAGUGGUACCAGGCAUGUCUGUCUCUACAGGAUGCAACAGCAAGGUCCUGAAGUGAUGAUUACAGCCCAGCCCUGUGAUUUCGUGUUUGGCUGAUUGCUUUUGACCAGUUUGAGAACAUCAGUAGCUUGUUGAAAUCCUUGUGGAGUAAGUGAAAGUUUAAUGAAUGCACAAACAGCAAGUGCAUCUCAGGACUAUAAGCAGAGUCAUUUCUACCUGGUAAUGUGUGCCAAGCCCAGAACCAUUCAGGAGAGAGGAUCAGCAGAAAGAGACGCUGCUGAGGAUUAAUUCUUACAGCAGGAACGUGGCUCAUCUGUCCUCGGAGACGCCAGGUUUGGAAAAAAGGAAAACUGUCUGUGGAAUGGUUUGUUAGACUGCUCUGUCUUAUGACCAGUUUACAGUAGGCAAAAAAAUGUAAAGUAGGAAGUAAUGUUUGCAAUUGUUGCUUUGUGAUGUCAGCUGUCUACAUGAGUCACCUUUCUGGAGGACUGUGCUUUGGAGAGGAAGGUGAUGACUUUGGUUUUCCAGCUGUGUAUUGAACUACACGGCUCUCGCUGCACAAAACAAGAGGUUCACUAUGUGAUGACUUGGACAAAGCAGCCACACAUCUUACAAGAGAAGUGUCUUGAAAAUGUCCCCCUGAUGGAGACAUCCAGCAAUGCAGUGAAAGCAUGGAGGAACAGAACUUGAAAUGUGGAAAUACAGAAGCUCUCUUCUAGGCUCAGGAGAGAUACUGGAGAGUCCACAGCUUUGCCAUUGGAAUGGGCUGCCCAGAGAGGUGGUGGAGUCACCGUCCUUGGAGGUGU